UACAGAGGGGGCAAGCGUUGUUCGGAAUUACUGGGCGUAAAGGGCGCGUAGGUGGCCUGUUAAGUCGAACGUGAAAUCCCCGGGCUCAACCCGGGAACUGCGUCCGAUACUGGCAGGCUUGAAUCCGGGAGAGGGAUGCGGAAUUCCAGGUGUAGCGGUGAAAUGCGUAGAUAUCUGGAGGAACACCGGUGGCGAAGGCGGCGUCCUGGACCGGCAUUGACGCUGAGGAGCGAAAGCCAGGGGAGCAAACGGG
rnacentral:rRNA from 1 species